UACGUAGGGUGCAAGCGUUAUCCGGAAUUAUUGGGCGUAAAGAGCUCGUAGGCGGCGCGGAUAGUCGGCGGUGAAAGCCCGGAGCUCAACUCCGGGUCGGCCGUCGAUACUUCCGGGCUUGAGCACUGUAGAGGCAGAUGGAAUUCCGGGUGUAGCGGUGGAAUGCGUAGAGAUCCGGAAGAACACCGGUGGCGAAGGCGGUCUGCUGGGCAGUUGCUGACGCUGACGCGCGACAGCGUGGGGAGCAAACAGG
rnacentral:rRNA from 1 species